AUGCACCACCAUGCCUGGCUAAUUAUGUAUUUUUAGUAGAGAUGGGGUUUCUCCAUGUUGGUCAGGCUGGUCUUAAACUCCUGACCUCAGGUGAUCCACCCACCUUGGCCUCCCAAAGUGUUGGAAUUACAGCUGUGAGCCACCAUGCCUGGCACACUAUCCCUUUUUCACACCCUCAAACUCCACAGUAGCCUUAAACACAUUUACAGUGCAAAUGCACAGCCUAGACACCACUGGAGGGAGCAGAACAUGGCUGGAGAUCCUUCAAAGCCUCAUUCCUGGAGAAAUGUGUCCUUUUCUUCCUAUGUUGCCCAGGCUGGAGUGCAGUGGUAUGAUCUCAGCUCACUGCAACCUCCGCCUCCCAGGUUCAAGUGAUUCUCCUGCCUCAGCCUCCCGAGUAGCUGGACUACAGGUGCACGCCACCACACUCUGCUAAUUUUUGUAGUUUUGGUAGAGACGGGGUUUGACCAUGUUGGCCAGGCUGGCCUCAAACUCCUGACCUCAGGUGAUCCGCCCGCCUCAGCCUCCCAAAGGGCUGGGAUUACAGGCAUGAGCCAUGACGCCCAGC
rnacentral:lncRNA from 10 species